GUUUGACAGGUUUGUUGACUGUAAAGAGAGAAAACUUCCCAGGAAUGAGGGAGUGGGGGGGGGGGAGUUAGAGGAAUAUGCAGCCCCAGGGGCCAAGGGGAAGACGGGGUGGGGGCCUAGAAGGAUAGGGGUGCCUAACUUAGAAUCGCAGACCUCCUGAGGCUAGCUGUUCCUUACAAAGGUCCUCUGCUCCCUCCCUCUGCCUACAGACUUUUUGAUCUCUGUGCUAGGCAAAGCUCUCAGAAGUCUCUCCCAGAGCAGAAGCAUCCCCAGGGAAGAAGAUCCACAGACUUCAGGGUUGGAAGAGAAUUUAGAGAUAAUCUUGUCCAUACACUCUGUCAUUAUACGGACCAGGAAAGUGAGGAGACCCAGAGAGAUGAAGUGAUUGCCCAAGGUCACGUAAGAGCAAGUAACCGAAUCGACACUCGAACUCAAUUCUUGUAGCUCCAAAUCCAGUGAUCUAUGCGCAGCUUCCUCUAGGCAACCAGUUCCUCGGUCCUCACUGCUAAGGAAGUUCCCCUGACCUCCCUCCCUCCUGAGAAUUGAGAACGUGUCCUGAUGGCCCUGCUGCUCUUCCUCCCACCUUCACUCGGGAGGGGGAAGGGCUGUGGAUCGUCGGUAGGCUGGUGGGCUUCAGAGGUAGAGACCAAAGCUUUCUCCCCACGCUCUGUAGCAGUGCCGGGGUGAGCACCAGCUCAGCCCCAGAGGGUCCCUGGUUCCCUGAGCCUGCCCUUCCACCUCCUCUCCCACCCGGCAUCCGCCCCUGGCAGCCGCUGAGCGGUGUUGUGGGGGUGGGGGAGCCCAGCUGCAGGCAGGGGUCCCUCACAGUGCCCCCCCGAUGGGUGCCGAGAGACGGAUGGAGGUCAGGAUUCCAGAAGGGAACAGCAGUCCCUGUCCGCCCUGGCCCCAACUUUAAGGUGCCUUCGAGUUUGGGAAUGGGGGCGGGGUUCCGGGCAGGAAAGCGUUGUUUGAGACAAGCGGAGUAGCUCAGAGCCCUUAGAGGAAAG
rnacentral:lncRNA from 1 species